rnacentral:tRNA from 1 species
GGCUGAUUUUGUUUUAUGAUUUGAAAUCAUUUAUUUAAGUAUAAUGGUUGUACUUGUCAGUCU